AUUGAACGCUGGCGGCAGGCCUAACACAUGCAAGUCGAGCGGAUGAAGGGAGCUUGCUCCUGGAUUCAGCGGCGGACGGGUGAGUAAUGCCUAGGAAUCUGCCUGGUAGUGGGGGAUAACGUCCGGAAACGGGCGCUAAUACCGCAUACGUCCUGAGGGAGAAAGUGGGGGAUCUUCGGACCUCACGCUAUCAGAUGAGCCUAGGUCGGAUUAGCUAGUUGGUGGGGUAAAGGCCUACCAAGGCGACGAUCCGUAACUGGUCUGAGAGGAUGAUCAGUCACACUGGAACUGAGACACGGUCCAGACUCCUACGGGAGGCAGCAGUGGGGAAUAUUGGACAAUGGCGAAAGCCUGAUCCAGCCAUGCCGCGUGUGUGAAGAAGGUCUUCGGACUGUAAAGCACUUUAAGUUGGGAGGAAGGGCAGUAAGUUAAUACCUUGCUGUUUUGACGUUACCAACAGAAUAAGCACCGGCUAACUUCGUG
rnacentral:rRNA from 1 species